rnacentral:rRNA from 1 species
AAGGAUCAUUAACGAGUUUUGAAAUGGGUUGUAGCUGGCCUUACGAAGGCAUGUGCACACCCUGCUCAUCCACUCUCAUACCCCUGUGCACCUAUUGUAGGCUUGGUCGGAAGACUGGUGUAACAUCCAGUUGGAAAGCCUUGCCUAUGUUUCAAUACAAACGCUUCAGUUUAAGAAUGUAACCUUUGCGUCUAACGCAUGAAAUACAACUUUCAGCAACGGAUCUCUUGGCUCUCGCAUCGAUGAAGAACGCAGCGAAAUGCGAUAAGUAAUGUGAAUUGCAGAAUUCAGUGAAUCAUCGAAUCUUUGAACGCACCUUGCACUCCUUGGUAUUCCGAGGAGUAUGCCUGUUUGAGUGUCAUGGUAUUCUCAACCUUCAAAGCUUUUGCGAUGAAGGCUUGGAUGUGGAGGUUGUGUUGGCGCAAGUCAACUCCUCUGAAAUGCAUUAGUGUGAAUCUUACGGAUCGCCUUCAGUGUGAUAAGUAUCUACGCUGUGGUGUUGAAGUAUAUAGGCAUUCAUGCUUCUAAUAGUCUCUUCACUGAGACAAUUACUUGACAAUCUGACCUCAAAUCAGGUAGAUAUCCCAUUCCC